rnacentral:rRNA from 1 species
ACUAACGCUGGCGGCGUGCCUAACACAUGCAAGUCGAACGAGGUAGCAAUACCUAGUGGCAGACGGGUGAGUAACGCGUAGACAAUGUGCCCUCUUGCGGGGGAUACCGUUCCGAAAGGAACGUUAAUACCGCAUAACACGGUUUAGAGGCAUCUCUAGAUCGUCAAACUUCCGGGGCGGGAGGAGCAGUCUGCGUUCUAUCAGCUAGUUGGUGAGGUAAUGGCUCACCAAGGCUCCGACGGAUAACUGGUCUGAGAGGAUGAUCAGUCACACUGGAACUGAGACACGGUCCAGACUCCUACGGGAGGCAGCAGUGAGGAAUAUUGCGCAAUGGGGGAAACCCUGACGCAGCGACGCCGCGUGGAGGAAGAAGGUUUUCGGAUUGUAAACUCCUGUCAGUGGGGAAGAGAACGGACGGUACCCACUGAGGAAGCUUCGGCUAACUACGU